AAAAUAUUUUUGUCACAAAGAUUUUGAUCACUGGUGUUAUCAAGACUCUUCUAUUAUAUUUUAUCAUAGAUAUUUUUAGCUCUGUUAAACUGCUUCCCUGGGUCACAGGUCAUCAAAGAAUAAGCAUCUCAAGGCAUGAGAAGACAGCAACACUAUGGGAGGAAAGUAGUUACAAAGCAAAAGUGGAAGUGCUAUCAAAGAAUAAAACAGUUGGAAAUAGAACUGAAGAAGACCACUCAACUUUAUGCCAAAAUUAGACAGAGAUACCGCCGUGCAGUUACAAAUACUAAAAAGGAAAAAAACACAAACAGUCCACAGAAGAAUGCAGAAGCACUACUAAAGGGGUCAUCUGUUCAUUCCCCUGUGAAGAGGACCUUAACUUUCCAUUUUGCCCUUGUGAGAAGUCUGCAGGAAAAGUAUCGCAAUGCAAAACAAGAAAAAGAAAAGCAACUUUAUGCUCGAUUAUUUACUUCCAAUUUGUUGAAAAAGUAUCGCAUGCAAUCUCUGUGUGAGAAAAAUCUAGGGUUCUCCUACAGACAAUGGAAAUUUGGAAAUGUGGAAAGUGCAGAAUUUCCCAGGACUAGAAAUACAGCUUCUCAGGCUAAGAAAAGAUCAGUGAAGAUGUUUUUUCUACGUGAUGAUGUGAGCAGGAUGACCACUGGAACAAAGAACACAAUUACCCUAAGGAAGGUUAAAAAGCAGCGACGACUUCUUUGUGACACCCUUCUAAAUCUGCAUAGGAGAUUUUUGGCAGAAAGUCCUGAUACAGUGUCCUAUCCCUUCUUUUGCAGACAAAGACCUUUUUGGGUCAUGCAUCCAACUGAAGCUGACAGGAACACCUGUCAAUGUAAAACUCACGAAAACCUCCAAUACAUGGCAGAAAGUCUUUACAAUCAAGGCUUGUUACAAACUAAAAAUCUGGAUGAGAUGGCAGAUGCUAUAGUUUGUGACACAAAGAGCAAAAUAUGUGCAUAUUCAGAGUGUCCAGAAUGCCGUGUGACAACAUUUCAAAUGAUAAAGAGUCCAUCAAAUGAAAGCAUUUCGGUGACAC
ensembl:lncRNA